CCUACGGGGGGCAGCAGUGAGGAAUAUUGGUCAAUGGACGCGAGUCUGAACCAGCCAAGUAGCGUGAAGGAUGACUGCCCUAUGGGUUGUAAACUUCUUUUAUAUGGGAAUAAAAUGUUCCACGUGUGGGAUUUUGUAUGUACCAUAUGAAUAAGGAUCGGCUAACUCCGUGCCAGCAGCCGCGGUAAUACGGAGGAUCCGAGCGUUAUCCGGAUUUAUUGGGUUUAAAGGGUGCGUAGGUGGAUUGUUAAGUCAGUUGUGAAAGUUUGCGGCUCAACCGUAAAAUUGCAGUUGAAACUGGCAGUCUUGAGUACAGUAGAGGUAGGCGGAAUUCGUGGUGUAGCGGUGAAAUGCUUAGAUAUCACGCAGAACUCCGAUUGCGAAGGCAGUUCACUGGACUGCAACUGACACUGAGGCUCGAAAGUGUGGGUAUCAAACAGGAUUAGAUACCCGUGUAGUC
rnacentral:rRNA from 1 species